ACAGAGGUGGCAAGCGUUGUUCGGAAUUACUGGGCGUAAAGCGCGCGCAGGCGGCUUUCUAAGUCUGGUGGUGAAAGACCGGGGCUCAACCCCGUGUCAGCCAUGGAUACUGGGAGGCUGGAGACAGGUAGAGGCAAGCGGAAUUCCGGGUGUAGCGGUGGAAUGCGUAGAGAUCCGGAAGAACACCGGAGGCGAAGGCGGCUUGCUGGACCUGGUCUGACGCUGAGGCGCGAAAGCGUGGGGAGCGAACAGGA
rnacentral:rRNA from 1 species